rnacentral:lncRNA from 1 species
UCGCUGGGCAAGUGUUGGCGGUGGAGCUUUGGUGGCAUGGUUUCUUUCCAUCAGAGGGGGCCAUCAAAUCGGCCUUGAUCUGUGUCCAACUAUCGAUGCUCUUAGUAGAAUUAUGGGUAGAUGCGGUGUUGCGGGGAGUCCUCUACCUGGUCAGGGAGCUCUCCUCAGUGGAUGCAUGCAUGGCAAAGCAAAGAAGGCUUGGCUUCGCCUGGGCAUGCAUGAAGAUCGACUUGUCCCAACCAUUGAGACCGAGGGUGCAAUUCAAGGGUCCGGAGGGCCCUUUCUAACAAAGGUUUGUGUAUGAGAACCUCGAUGAAACCUGUCUCUAGUGUGAAUGAUAGCAUCAUUUGGAGGAAUCAUGCCUGGCCGAGGGGGAGGAGGGGCAUUGGUAGUUGGGGCCGAAGGGGAGGAGUUGUGAGCGGCAGCUAAUGGGCUGUGCUGGGGCCAUGGUUGGUGGCAACCUAGGUCAGAAGUGCCUGUUGGGUCAAAGAAGAAGGAGGCCGAGUCGAAUCAGCCCUUUGAGUCAGAGCCAUGGGUGAGUCAAAUAGGCUCGAACUUGGUCAAUUUGAUAGCUAGAUCGGAUGACUAGAUCAAGAUAACCAAGACCGCACAUCGGAGAUCUCCCAUCUGAUCUAGGUCCGAAUCAAUGGCUGAAUCGAGCAAUGCAAAUGUCAAGAUUCAUGCGGGAAGCUUUAUAGGCUUGAGCCCGGGUGCGGUCCAACCCCCGAACUAGUUUGACCCAUCGGUACUGGGCUGGGACUCGGGCAACGACCUAUCUGGAGGCACGCUGGUGAGGUUGCUGGGAGUGGGCUCAGCCCAGCCCAAGAGGGCCUAACCCCAUGAAUUUGAUGUGGGUUGGGCGCCUAUGACACCUAAUGGGCGGGUUUCAGUGCCUGCUAGGUCCAGAAAGGGCCUAUGAAGCAAAAUAGUGCCAAGGCAAGGCCCUGGCCCACUCGAAGGCUCGAGCAGAAUCAGCAUAUGGCAUUGAAGGACUUGGGGUCUUCAUCUUCUCUACCAGGACCCUUAGAGAGGAGGGGAAUGC